rnacentral:rRNA from 1 species
CCUGGCGGCAGCAGUAGCGCGGGGUCCCACCUGACCCCAUGCCGAACUCAGAAGUGAAACGCCGUAGCGCCGAUGGUAGUGUGGGGUCUCCCCAUGCGAGAGUAGGGAACUGCCAGGC